UCCAAGGAAUAUGUGAUUGGGAGAAUGCGAUCUAAAGAAGUUAGAUUCAUGAGACCAUUCUUUCGUAGACACAUCCUAAACGUUCCUGAUCAUAGGAUUGCCAAUUGGGCAUUAACAGUCCGUUAAGAUCAGUACGUGCUGUGUCUUCUCUCAGGGAGAGUGACUAGUCUCGAGUCAUUGGUGUGUGUGACAUCAAGACAAGUACGUAGGUGCUCAAUAGAGAAUGAGUUCACUGAACACGAUCAACGAAGAGUUCUCAUAUUCAUGUCACAUGAGAACUCAUGGUUGGGAUAAUGCAAAGUAGUCCUUUGACCUGAGGCAUCAUAGUUGUCUUGUGGUUAAGUCCUUGAUCUUUGAUUAUGUCAAAAGUCACUCCAAAAGGAGGGUGUCCACGGCAUAGUUGGGGUUAAGCCACUUAGCUAUGGAGGCAAGUGAAUGCGCAACAAGGGAUCUCUAACCUUCAAACCUGUUUGAGGGAGAAUACUCUAUGAUAUGAUUUAAGAAUCUCUGGCCAGAGUAUGAAUGAGAUUUAGGAAUACGUUCCAAAUCACAUUCAAGGUAAUCAUAUAAGCACACGAAUCACAUUGGAUAGUAGACAUGAAUAAAUAAACUAUCAAACCAAACAAUGUGGUCAAGAGUAUUGUAUUAGAGAAAGACCGUAUUGCAUUUAUAAUCCUAAACUGAAUAGGUUCUCCACCUCUUCUGAUUAAGCUUGGGUAACCAUGAUAUGCUGCUAGGUGUCACUCAUGGUUUGUGGAAGCCCUAAACGUGUAUAAUCACUAAAGGGAGAAUUGAAAGUAAGUUUCAAUUCACAAUCGAUUUGAAAGAGUUUUAAUCGCCCACUGCCUCGCUAAAAGGAACCUAAUGGAUCGUACACCGUGUAAGGUGGAGAUUGAAGAAACAAUGGAGAUGAGUAAGAAUAAUUAAAUGGUUUAAUUAUUAUUUAUGGCAAGGAUUAAUUAAUAUGUUAAUUAAUCAAACGAAUAAGUUCGUUAAAGACCUCGGGAUAGUUUUGGACCUUAAGGCCCAAUGGGCUUCGAACGUCAAGCCCAUUGACUUAAGUUGUAUGACAAUUUAAUGAAUAAAGAUUCACAAAGGCCCAAAAGCCCAAAUCCCUUAUGGCCGGCCAUGUUGUGUUGAAUUAGGGUUUUUUUGGUUCUUUAGGUCAUUUAAAGAAGUGACUAUAUAAAAUGACUUUAUAGCCUAAAAUUCAUUUAAGGGUUUUUUUGGAGAAAAAUUGGAGAGAACAUGUCUCUCCAUUUUCUCUCUAAAGAGGCCGGCCCCUUGGAGGGAUUAGCUAGCAAUCCCACUACUCCAAGGUCACUCAUUUCUUCUCCAAUCUAACCUUGGUGAAGAGACUUAGAGGUUCUCAAUUUUGGGAACUUGGAGAACCAUAUUCUUCCAUCCAAAUCCAUGGAUCUAAGAAGCAAGGAAUGAAGGCCCUCUCUUUGGGUGAUUAGCCUUUGCUUAUGCAAAGAGGAAUCUACAAAGGUAUAAAUUUCUCAACUCACUUUGUUUUGAGUUGAGUCUUGGUUCACCAAUCUACUAGGCUUUGAAUUUCAUGGUUAAUGUUUUGUUUUUGAAGUGCAUGCAAGCAUGAUUCCGCCUUUUAAUUGUUAAAUGCAUGCUAUAGAUGUUAUUCAAAUGAACAUGUUUUUCACAAAAUCAUCCUUCAAGUGGUAUCAGAGCCUAGGUCUAGUAGUUGGUGAAUCCUUUUGGGUUUUGUAGUUCAUAGUUUGUGAUUUAAAAGUUGUAAUAUGUUACAAGCUUUAUUCUUGUUUCUUUGAAUGUAAAUUUUGUUAGAAAAUUUGCCAUCUCAAAUGUUGUAGAUGUAGUUCAUAUGAGCAUGAAUAUUGGAGCUAAAAUUUGGUGCCAUGCUUUUGGGAAUUUUCGGCCAAAUCCAAAGGGUGGAUUUUUGGGUUCUUGUUUGACUUGUUAAAAGUGUUUUCAAGUGACUUUUGGAACCCCUAUGUACCCUAGUUUGGUUAUAUGUUAUUUCCCUAAAGUUUGAAUGGUUUUGGGAUGUUUUUGGGUGAAAAAUGUUCAUGGAAAUUUUUGGGUUUUUCAUGAAUGUUCUUCAUUGUUCUUGACAUUUUUGCCAAGAACAAAAAGGUUUUGUGUUUUGAUUCAAAGUUUUGAUUUAUUUCAUAAAGUUUAUGUUUUAUGUUUUUUUUCAAAUGAUUUAAAUGUGUUAGAUAUUUGUUUAAAUGGUGGUAGAAAUAAUGGUGGGUGUGAAAGGAUUAAUUCCCUUUCACACACACCACUUGCACCACUUGCAUGCUUUAUGUCAAAACUCACAAAUCAACACACACAUCACUCUAAUCAUUCUCCCAAAACCGGCCCUCCCUCAAGUGGGAGUACUUUUGGGGCUUUUAUGCAAUUACAUAAAGUUUUGAUACUUUUUGUGUAUUUGCACUUUGGCCCAAAAGUUUACGUUUUUACGUUUAGGUCCAAAAACGCUAAAGGACAAAUUGUUUUGCUCCUUUAAUGAAGUUUUUGCAUUAUUAAAAUUUUGGGUUCUAGUUGUAAUUACAUGAAGUAGUGGACUUUUGUGUUUUUACAAAGUGACCCCAAAAGUUUUGCAAUAUAGCCCAAAAGUUGAGGUUUGUUGCUUUAUGGCCCAAAAAGUUGUGGUUAUUGCAUAUUGGCCCAAAUUAGGUUAGAGAACAAAAUUGUUUUGUCUCUUUAAAUGAGAAUUGGAUUUUCAUUUCAUUUAGCUCCAUUUAAAUCAAUUUUAUGGAUACAAAAACCAAAUGAAAAUGUUGCAUUCAAUUUAAUUAGUUAAAGUGUUAAUUAAUUAAAGGGUGAUUAUGAACCUAAGCCUAAUAUAAUUGAGCUAUGUGAAAGGCCGUUUCAAAUUUGUUUGAACCAUGGGAAUGUGUAGAUUAGAUUUUGGUUGUAAUUUGAUUUGAUCAAAUGUUGUAAAAGAGGGCAUAAGCUCUUCUUUACUUUAAAGUAAUUUGUUUUAUGCAAAUGUUGUAAUGAGCAUAAGCUCACCUUUACUUUGAAGUACUUCUUUCUUGCUUUAUUUGAUAUGCAUGAAAAUGAAGUAGUUGGGUCCAACGCCCCUAAGACAACACGCCUUAAUGUGAUUAAACGCGUAACUAAAAUCAAUCACCAUCCCUAGACCGAGAUUCAACACAAGGCUCGUGUUGAAUCUAAACAAAGGUUCAUAGUCAUCCUAAGGCCCUAAGGCAACUAUAUAGUCCAUCAAAUGAAUGCAAACCUUAUGUUAGUAGUAGUAUCAUAUACUCUUGCUUUAAAAACCGUUUUAUAAGCAUAGUGGGAGUAUUAUAUACAACUAAAAACAAUCAAAUGGACCAAUAGUUGUAAUAGGACCAAAAUUGUUUUAAUAAAGAUUAAAAUGAAUAUUUAUAUGUGAUGAGACCUAAAACCCUCAACCAAACCAUUAUUAAGUUGAUAAGCGUGAGAGUGCUUUGAACACUCUUUCGUGGCCUUCCACCGUGGUAGGCUCCAAUCGUUUGUGACUCGUACACCGUACUUCACCCUAUCAUGGGGAGUGCAAAGUAUGUGCUUACACUCAGGAGGAAGCCUAUAAACAUAUGAUGAAGUAAAGGUAGGCAACGAGUAUGGCCAAUAUGAUUAUCAUUCGUGAGGCUAUUCUUGAACCCCUACUUGAACUAAGCAUGGUGGGAAUGACUUAACUAAGUGCAAUGGAGCCAACAUGAUAUCAUUGUGAGGCAUCAUUCUCUAGAGGCCAAAUAAGAUGGGUACUUGCAAGAGAUGCAAAUGAGUAAGCGUACUCUCUCAUUUAUUAUUAAUGCUAGCCAAUAUGAUUUUCAUUCUGAGGUGGGCUUGGUAAGUAGUGAGUCUCCCAUACCCUACUAAGAGUUUCAUCCAAAACUCUCGAAUUCCAAUGAGGGAUAUGGAAUUUGCCAAAAAUAGUGGGUGGUGCUAUUUGAUUUAAAGACCCGAAUCAAAUGGCUUAAAAUCAAUCAAUUUAUAUUCGUUAUGUAUUUGUUUACCAAUAUAUUUGCAAACGCUAUCCAACACUUGACAAAUAAAAGCCGAAUGCUUUAGUUUCCGGACUUGGUACAACAAUCCCAAAGAUUGUCUUUAAAUGGAUUGUAAAUGUACCUAAGUAGUCUCAUCCUCACAAUCUUCCUAUUGAUAAUGUAUCAUUAGAAGAAUAUGUUAGAAAAGUCUAUCAUAAAGAGGACAACACUUUUAAUGUCAUAAUUCUUCAAUUACAAAUUGUUGUAUGAAGAAAUAAGAGUUGCUUUGAACAACCCUUAGUCAAUGCAAACACUUAGUGCUUGUUUCUUUGUUAACAUGAACAAAGGAACUUGAGAAGAAAGCACAAAGGCAUGGACACUUUAUGUGCCAUGAUUCUUCACUUACAAAUUGUUGUAUGAAGAAAUGAGAGUUGCCUUGUACAACUCUUGAAAGUUUGUAAUUAUGUUUAGAACAUAAUGGUUGGUUGACAAAAAUAGUCCAUUCAACAUGGACUUAUGAUGAUUUUGAAUCAUUGAGUGUUGAAGUGAUAAACCACUUAACGAGACGGAAACUAGGCAAGGACUUCACCUUUGUGUCCCUAUCCUAAUGGUUCACUAAGUUUAUUGUAAACUAUGUAGUGAACAAUAAACACAUGCUCUCCAAAAUGUUUGAUGUGUAUAACACAAUUGAAAUAAGUUUCAAGAGAGAUAGUGGGAGUUUAGGGACCAUGACUAUUGUAGUCAAAGGAGAAGUCAAAUGAAGAAGAUAAAAUUAACUCCAAGGGAACAAACUUUCUUUAUGAAAGGAUGGACAUUGGAAGGGGUAUUUGCAAGAAAUGUCUUGCAAGUGUCAAGAACACACCUUUCGAAGGUGUUGUAAAUUGUUCUUGAAUAGUUCAAAAACAGUUGGUUCUUCUACUUGAAUGCUUGAUUCCGUAUUAGUAACUAUGUUUUACAAUCGUUGUAAAAGUGUGACUAAUAAGAAGUAGAAGAUAUAUAUGAGAGAAGAAAAGGUGCUUCACAUUCGGAACGUGAAUAAAAUAUAGAUCUCUGCGAAAGCAGAUAGUACUUACUUCCUCAUAUGAACUACCAAAGAAAUUGGAAAAACCAAAGAUUGUCUUUACAUUCCAAUUUUAAGGAACUUAAUUCCGUCACUAUAGUAGAGAUGGAUGAAUGUUUUGUUUGACAAAACAUUGUUCUUUAUUAAUCAAUGAUUGGAUUAUAGUAAUCUAAUUGAUUGUCUCUAUAGUAGAGAUGAUAUGGUAGUGUUAACUGUUUAGAAUAUAAUGAUGCUUAAAACCCAAAAGGUUGCAAGGUAGUGACUAAUCCCAACUAAAGUUGUGAUACCUCUAAAACAUAAAUUACGAGUUGGUCAUAGAUGGAUGCUUUGGAUCGUUAGAUCCGGAUCCAAUACCUUCUUGUUAAAAUUGUAUAGAGGCGAAAAUGUUCGAAUCUUUAUUCUUUUGGAAAGAAGAAAGAAUCACAAAGUUGUUGAGGUUAAUUCACUUAGAUGUUAGUGGCACUUGUCCACAAACAUAAUACUACUCAUGUUUGUAUGACAUUCACCGAAGAUCACUCUCGGUUGGACUAUAGUUUAUUUUGAAUAAACACAAGUCCGAAUACUUUGCAAAAGGUUUCAAAGAAUUCAAGAAAUGUAAGUUGAUGAGUAAGACGUCUAAAGUAUUUACCUCCUUAGAUUUGAUCCAAGGAAAAGGUAACACUUUAGAUGAGUUUUCCUUGAAAGAUAUCAAGGAAAGAAGCAUCAUAAGAUAAUAAAUUUCUCCAUUAAGGAGAAGAACGAACUCGAAUAAGAUUUAGUUCGUUAGAUGUUAUCUAUUACCCAUAUAUAGGAUAUAUACUUCUAAAACAAUAUGAUUGUCAAUUAGAAGAUCUUCCAAAUUUUUCAUGACUCCAUAAGAUGUAGUUGGAAAGAAAGACAAAUCUUAAGCAUGUUAAGAUUUGGGGUUGUGUGCUAAUAAGCAAUAUUUGUUUGAUAACAAUCUUGUGGGAUAUCCUUAAAUUAACUUUUGGAUAUCGCUUCUAUAAACCAACUAACAAAUGUUGUUUUGUUGGGUAGUUCAUUGUAAUCCUACAAUGUGAUUUGCCUAAAAGCAAAUGAACGAGAGAUAGAACUCAAAGAAUGGGUUCUUUGAGAGACAAGAAAGUAAUCAACAAAUAUAAACAACCUAGUUCCUAUACCACAAGCUCCAAGGUAGUCGAGAAGGAUUUAUAAACCGUCUCAGUUGAAUGGUUUGAACUUUAUGACUAUGUCAUAGAGUUGCACCUCUUAAUUCGAAAGAAAUAAGAAUGAAAAUCCUUAUGACUACAUUGAGUGUAUAUACGAUAUAUACUCAAGGAAAUGGUAAAGUACCAUUUGACCCGAAAUAAUGAAACCUUCAUAGCUAAUUGGUAGCUUAAGGUGACUACAAUCAAAGAGAAUGGUUGACUUUGAAGAAACCAUCUUUGACGUAGUCUUGGUUUCAAUUAAUUCGAAGAUUGCUAGCUACAACUAAAUGGUGAUUCAAUGUUUUGGACAUAAUAUGGGUUUCCGAAACCAUUAUUAAGAUAGUCUUGAUAAUAUAUAUGUCUAAAACUAUGAAUCACAAGACAUGUAAGUUGUAGAGAUCCAUCCAUCAUGGAAUCUUAGCAAGCUAGUGGGAGCUAUAAGCAUCUUAUGAGAAAAAGGAUCAAAUCGUUUGAUUUCUCAUAAAGAUGUAAAUGAAUCUUUUGUUUACUAGGUUUUACAAAAGAUUAGUGGGAGUUAAUCAUGUUCCUAAAAUUUAAAUAUAUAUGAUAUAUUAAUUUUGGAAAUGAAAAGAAUACUUCUUCAUAAAGUUAAACUUUAAAACAUUAUAUGAAGAUAGAAUGUAUAUGGGAGUUAAUCAUGUUCCUAAAAUUUAAAUAUAUAUGAUAUAUUAAUUUUGGAAAUGAAAAGAAUACUUCUUCGUUAAAGUUAUGACUUUAAACAUUCUAUGAAGAUAGAAUGUAUAUGGGAGAUAUAGUCUAUAUACAUGGGAUGGAAAUCUAUAAUGAUAUAUUUCAUGAUAUAAUUGGAUUAUAUCAAUCCCUAAUAAUAGACAAUAGAUGCUAGGAAGUUUCUCAUAUGAUGAUAAACUUCAAUUAGAAGGACAACUCUAGUGAGACUAAGAAGUUGCCUCUUCUCAAAAGGAGAACGUACCCUUUGACUCCCAAAGAAAUAAUGCGUAAAUAGAAUCCUUUAUGCAUACGCAGAAAGGUGAUUUAUGUAUUUCAUAUUGUAUGAAAAACAUUGAUAUGAGUUGUACCUAGAACGGUACAAGACGAUAUCAGUGCAAGCCCAGGAUCAGAACCAUGGCAACUGUCAAGUGAGUCCUUAAGUAUUUAAGAAAUACUAAAGGAUAAGAUUCCUCAAAGAAUCGAGGAAGAAUUAGAGUAACGUAAUGGAAGCGUAAAUGUAUUAGAUUAUGAAUCUAAUCCAUCAUUGGAUGUUUCUUCAUUAUGAAUGAAGAGAUAAACAGAUAUCUCUUUAUUAUGACUAAAGAGAUAUUUGGAUGGAAACAUUAAAAGUAAUGACUUUAGUGUGUUCCAUUAUGAAUGCAAAAUAUAUUGCCAUAUAGAAGUUUACAACAAUGUUGUUUGGAUGGAUGGGAAAGUUCAUUUAUGAACUCUCUAUUCGGUUCCAACCAGAGAAAGUCUCUAGUGUAUGACACUAUGACACUAAUGGGGCGAUAGCUCAAGCCAGGGAAUCAAGGUCUCAUCAAGAUCCGAACUCAAAUGAGAGACUGAACCACAUGAUUGAGAAUCAUGUAUAAUGGUGACGUCGUUAUUCUCAAGGUUGCUUCUAUGGAUAACAUAUAGAUAUCCAUUGUCUAGGCCUACUAUUCAGCCAUUUAUGAAAUGACUACAGAAGAGGUAUCAUCACUGAUGACCAAGCUGAUUGGCUCUAGUGCAAGUGGGAGAUUGUUGGAAAUGUGCCCUAAAACCAAUCAUAUGAUGAUACUUUACGGACAUUUCACAUGUUAAACUAAUCUAGUUUAAUAUAUAAAGGGCAAAGAUUAUUGUUUGAGCCGUCUCAUAUAAAUGUUAUAUGCUUAAACGAUAAAGUCCAAGGAAUAUGUGAUUGGGAGAAUGUAAUCUAAAUGAAGUUAGAUUCAUGAGACCAUUCUUUCGUAGACACAUCCUAAACGUUCCUGAUCAUAGGAUUGCCAAUUGGGCAUUGACAGUCCGUUAAGAUCAGUACGUGUACUGUGUCUUCUCUCAGGGAGAGUGACUAGUCUCGAGUCAUUGGUGUGUGUGACAUCAAGACAAGUACGUAGGUGCUCAAUAGAGAAUGAGUUCACUGAACACGAUCAACGAAGAGUUCUCAUAUUCAUGUCACAUGAGAACUCAUGGUUGGGAUAAUGCAAAGUAGUCCUUUGACCUGAGGCAUCAUAGUUG
rnacentral:lncRNA from 1 species